GACGAACGCUGGCGGCGUGCCUAAUACAUGCAAGUCGAGCGAAUCAAUAGGAGCUUGCUCCUGCUGAUUAGCGGCGGACGGGUGAGUAACACGUGGGCAACCUGCCUGUGAGACUGGGAUAACUUCGGGAAACCGGAGCUAAUACCGGAUAAUCCUUUUUCCACUCAUGUGGAAAAGCUGAAAGUCGGUUUCGGCUGACACUUGCAGAUGGGCCCGCGGCGCAUUAGCUAGUUGGUGAGGUAACGGCUCACCAAGGCGACGAUGCGUAGCCGACCUGAGAGGGUGAUCGGCCACACUGGGACUGAGGCACGGCCCAGACUCCUACGGGAGGCAGCAGUAGGGAAUCUUCCGCAAUGGACGAAAGUCUGACGGAGCAACGCCGCGUGAGCGAUGAAGGCCUUCGGGUCGUAAAGCUCUGUUGUUAGGGAAGAAUAAGUAUCGGAGUAACUGCCGGUACCUUGACGGUACCUAACCAGAAAGCCACGGCUAACUACGUGCCAGCAGCCGCGGUAA
rnacentral:rRNA from 1 species